rnacentral:lncRNA from 1 species
GAAAAAUGGCCAAAAAAUGGGUGGGCUAUAGCCUAUGUGGGGGGCGUGGGCGAAGUUCGUCCGCCGGACUCGGAAUGGCCCCAGACUUGGCGGGCGGCCUCCGUGUGCCAAAAAUAGGCCACGGGCACAGCCGCGCCCAAAAAUCAGCCCCCGAAGGUCGGGGUCCCAAGGCCCCCCAGCGGAAAAAUGGCCACAAAACGGGUGGGCUAUAGCCUUGGUGGGCGGCGUGGGCGAAGUUCGUCCGCGGGACUCGGAAUGGCACCAGACUUGGCGGGCGGCCUCCGUGUGCCAAAAAUAGGCCACGGGCACAGCCGCUCCCAAAAAUCAGCCCCCGAAGGUCGGGGUCCCAAGACCCCCCAGCGGAAAAAUGGCCAAAAAACGGGUGGGCUAUAGCCUUGGUGGGGGGCGUGGGCGAAGUUCGUCCGCGGGACUCGGAAUGGCACCAGACUUGGCGGGCGGCCUCCGUGUGCCAAAAAUAGGCCACGGGCACAGCCGCUCCCAAAAAUCAGCCCCCGAAGGUCGGGGUCCCAAGACCCCCCAGCGGAAAAAUGGCCAAAAAAAGGGUGGGCUAUAGCCUUGGUGGGGGGCGUGGGCGACGUUCGUCCGCGGGACUCGGAAUGGCCCCAGACUUGGCGGGCGGCC